rnacentral:sRNA from 1 species
CACACAUACAUAUGCAUGUGACCCAAGCUGUAGAAACAGGUGAAAUAAUGAGGGAAUAUGUAUUGAUGACUUGGAUUCUGCCUUGUCAAGGACCAUAGGUGCCUCAGACCAAUGGUCUUCUUCAUCCCUCUGAGAUUUAGAGGGGUGACAAAACCUUCCUCUGCUCCCAGUAUGAGUAUUUAUGAUCAAACUUCCUCCUCUCAGAUAACUACAGCCUGAGACAGAUUCCCCUACUAAGUCCUACCAAGACUAGCUAGCUGCUCCUCCUGCUAAACACACUGAUAGUCCAGGGUUUUGUGUAGCUGGUGCUGGUAAGUAUGGCCUUCCUGAUCCCCACUUCUCUAUAUAUGUGUCUGUCCUUUCUUCAUUUUCUUGUCCUUCCAGUCAGGUUGCCAGGACUGAGCUAUUGAGGCCACAGUGCCCAGGGAGACCCACUUAGGCUGAAUCUGCCCAAGGAGCAAGGGUUGCCAGGCAGCAGGACCAGGAUGACAUUCUGCUCGGUGUGAGGCAAGACCAUGGUGUAAGAAUGGUAGUCAGGCCAGGAGUAUGAACUGUGGAGAGGUGGCCAAGAUGCCUACAUAGGGGUCAGCAGCAGACUCGAACUUCUCUGGUAAAGUCUCUAGACUCCCAAGAGAAGAACCCUGCUGGACACAAGCAGGAAACUAGGUCCCCCGAAGGAGAACAGGAAUAUGGCAAAAAGGCUUGGAUUCCAGAUUCAAGAACCAUUUACAGUGAGACCUAGUGAUAGCCAUCAAUAGUCUGGGUGAGGUGAAAGAGGGCAGGACCCCAGCAUUCUGUGCUGUCUCACAUACCAGGAGGAAGGAGGCCUAGAGUCCUGAAAUCUGGGAAGAGCUGUCCAGCUGCUCACCCUGAGCUGAGGUCCACAGAUGGCUUUGGUCAAGAUUGUCCUCCUCUGAGCAAAGACCAAAGAUGUGCUAACACUGCAAGUUCCUGCCCACUACCCAAGUGUGUGUGCCAUUCACCACAGCCUAUGCAGAGAAAGGCUGGAAGAGGUCUGUGUUCAAUGUGAUUGCAGUACCUUCAAAGUGCCUGUAAGCCACGGCUCCUGUAGCUGAAGUACACUGCAGAUAGAGUUCUGCUCUAUGGCCAGGCUGCGGAAAGGUGGCCUUGACGGGUAGCUCUCAGAAGCAUGAUGGAAGUCAGCAGUGAGCAUCUCCUUCGUGGCACACUGGCAGGAGCCGUAGCACCAGGACGACGUUUGGUAUGCCAGGCACAUCCUGUGCCUCACACAUCCAGGGACUGCAAUCAGGUAGCUGAUGAGAAUUCAAGUCACAUCGCCUGGACCAUUGCCGCAGUGAACUGAUUCAUGCUGCUACUUCGAGGUGGGAGAAGGGACAGUGGGGCCCAGAGACAAACCAGCCUGGCUCUAUUAUACAGCUGCUGUUCUCAAGCUGAAACGUUCCGUCCUUUCCCACUCCCUGUCUUGCUGCUGAGCUGGCUACCUGUGAAGCCUGAAGAUUCCAGCCCCAGGUUCUGACUGAACAAUGGUAUUAUGUGAUGUAUAAAGAGUACCCAGGCAACGGAGACAGGCAUGGCUUCAUUCACUCAGUGCCCAGUGGCUUUUGAACGCUCCAGCAUUCAGCCUUUAUCCUGAGCAGCUCUGGGCCUCUCCCCUCCCAUUUAUUGCUCAGCUGUCCUCAUCAUAAUCUUUCCCCUGUCUGCAAGAGAGCCAUGAAUGAGGGAAGGAAAGGGGGGAGACAAAGAUACUCUGGUAACCAGAAAGACUCCUGAUUGUGGGUGAAGAGAUCUGAGGUUUGGUCUCUGGUGCCAUCACUCAUGAGGGAACCUUGAGUGCAUCUCUAGUCAGCUCCAGGUUCCCUUCCCGAUCUAAGUCUCUGGUAAGAGAAUCAGGAAGAAAGUCCAACGGGAGCUUUGCCAACUCUGACAUUCUAUCAUGUGGUUGUGACAAGUCCCCAGGACCACUGAGGAAUGGAGAGAGCUAACCAACGGGGACAAAGUACCAGAAACACCUAUUGUGACUCAUCUGUGAUGGUGACUAACAAGACCAAGGUCCACAGAUGAGGAAGUUAUGCCUGUGAGAGAGGUCAAGUUGCCCAAGCAUGACCCAGUCUGACCUGGCUUGUGUUGCUGACCAUCAGGAACCCCUCACCAAGCAUCAACACAGAUAUCCAGAGGCCCAGGGCUAGUGGUGGGAGCUGAGCCUCAAAGGCUCUUGAUUCUGUGAACUCCUGAAUGCAGUGAAGUGAAGCACCUGCUCAGGUGAGUCAUCCAUGGUUCAGAGUGGCAUAGAAUGAUGUGAGGUGGAAUGUGGAGAGAUCAUUCACUGGAUAACGUAAAAAUCGUGGGGACUAGAAUCAGACAGCAUACCAAAGAGGGUUCAGGAUCCUUGGCUAUCCAAUGGACACCAAAGGGCUCUGAGGCCCAGCCUGGAACUCAGGGGUAUCAAAGCACAACUGGUGCUUGAGGUCAGAGAUGUUCCAAAAGUACCACAGCUGCACUAUCAGAUGUUUGGGGCAUUCCUGAGGAGGGCCAGGAAUCGGGAAUCUUCUCUCUUCCUUCCUGUGCUCAAUCUGAGUCCUCAGAGUUAAGGGUGAAACAUUACAUCAGCCUGUAGAAAGCUCAGGGUCUGAGUUAAGGAGAAACUCCACAAAGAGAUGGUACAAUAACUCUUACUUAUCAACAGAAGUGAGAUCAUAAAGCAGGUGCCAUAACUGAGAAACCAGACAGACGUUUCCAGAAACCAAGAGUCACAGGCCCUCAGUCAUUUAACAGACAACACAAAGAUAUGACUGGUACUCAUGUUUCCACAUAAUGUGUCAUUGCAAGAGUGAAUUACUAAGGGGGCAGUUUUGUGAAGCAAAAGAUAUGGCCAUGUUAAGUAUACACUGUGGUAAGAGUCAGCCUGGCUUCAGAAAUGUGCAUUAUACUAUAAAAUAAUAGAACUUCAUGUCCAGGUCAAAAGUACAAAGGAGGCAGCAAAGAGCCAGCCCUCAAAGCUGCCUUGAGAAUCAUUCAUUCAUUCAUUCAUUCAACAAGUAUUUCUCAAGAUCCCAGUGCUGGAAACUGACAACCCAUUGCUUCAGUAAACUAAACAAAGAAAGGGACAGUGUCUCCAGGCGAGGGACAAGUCUGUGCCACAGCCCUGAGAUGGGAGAGUCAGAGCCUGCUUGAGACAGAUAAGGCUAGGUCAGUAACUGUGGCUAGAGCCAGGUGAGGCAGCACAGCAGGAAUUUGGCCCAGCCCAACUGUGUUGUCCCCUGCCAGAGGAUUUAGUUUUAAUCUCAACACCAUUGGGAGAGUAUAGAAUUUGGUUUGUGCAUGGACAUAGCAUCUGCCUGUGGAACUGUAGGAUCAGCUGGGUGCUAGGUUGAGAAAAAGCCGCAAGGGUCAAGAGAGCCUGGGAAGCUAAAAACAAGGUUUUGCAGUAACAUUAACUGGAGUAGAGAGCAGAGUACAUGGAUUUAUGGUUUGGAGAGAAUGCAGAGCACUUUGUAAGUGUUUGGGUAAGGGCAAAGAGAAGCUUGUGUACUUUCUUUCAUGGAAGGUGGGGUUAUGUUUGCUACAGAGACAAUAUAUACAUGCUUUCCCCCCCUCUGAAGGGAGCAAGGAAAGCAGUUACACCUGUGAGGGACUCUGAGCUGGCUCAGUGGGUAAAGUGCUGGCCUUGCAAGGACCUGACUUCAACCCCAGCAAACAAGUAAAAGCCAGGUGUGGAUGUAUCCAUGUAUAACCCUGGUGUUGGGCACAGGAGCAGAGGUAGAAGAACCCUAGGGGAUUGGUUUAGUGAGAGACCAUGCCUCAGAAUUAAGGCAGAAGAUAAAUGAGGAAGACCUCUGAUGUGGACCUCCUGCCUCCACAAAUACACACAAGGGCUCGUACACCUACACAUGUGUGAAUUUAACACACACACACACACACACACACACACACACAAAUAAAUAAAUAUUCAAAAGGAAUAAAUUAUUAUAAGUCUGUGUCAGAGGAAGUCUCCAGAGAGCCAUGACAGCAGUUUCUAUGUCUGUCUUCUAUUGGGUAAGAACCAUCAUCGAUGAUCUUGGAGAAACAUACAAAAGAAAUGCUGUCCCCAUGCAGAGGGCGAAGGCAGUACUGGUAGGUGUACAGUUCUGGAAGGCUCCAUGGACUUGACAAAGUGCUCUCCUAGAUCAAGAAGGACAAGCAGAAUCUUAAGAGAGCUGACUGGACAGGUGGGAAGAGUGUGCUCCAACAGAGGCUGCAGAGGAGAGCAUUGUUCUGGAGAAACACUGAGCUUGAGGACACAGCAGCCCUCUGAUCAAAGACUCUCAAGAAGACCGAACUGAACUGAGCUGAAGGCAUGACCUUCCCAUGUCUAAGAGAAAGCAAAAAUAGUUGAAUCCAGACCUUCCCCAUCUGGACAAGCAGAGUCCAGAGCAGGUCUAGCCCAACCCUCAGUGAACACUGUAGAGGGAGACAUGAAGCAGAGGAAGACUCGGUGAGAGCCAGAAAUGUGAUGAAAUACCAACAGAUAAGCUCAGCAAAGCACCUUCACAGUCUUGAUUUCUUAUAAAUAACAAGUGCUCCGUGUGGUGUUGGCCAGGCUAAGCCUCCCUGUGCAUGAAUUCUUUUCAUUCAUUUCUUCAUCUGUUGUGGAAAGAGAUUUGAGUUGCCCAUUUCCCCAAUGAGUUGAGCUCUGUGGUGAAUGAAUCAUUUGUCUAAGUCUCUGACUAGAAAUGACAGUGACAGAAGCAUCCAGGGUUGUCUGACUCCAAAGCCCACCUGAGGUGGGUCUGUCUUCAGUGAUGGGAAGCAGAGCAACCCUGGAAAUGUAUGCUACAGGAUCAUUAGCAUGAUUUAAUAAGCCGUUCCCUUGAGCCAGGAUUGCCAACAGCUCCAUCUGACAUGGCCAUAUGGGUCACCACACUAGGGGAAGAGGCUAACUAUCUCCAGUCUUUGUGGGAAACCCUGUCCUGGCCAGGAAGGGGAAGUUUUAAGUGAUGUAUUAAAAACAGG